rnacentral:lncRNA from 1 species
GUCUCAUGAGAUCUGAUGGUUUUAUAAGGGGAAACCCCUUUUGCUUGGCUCUCAUUCUCUCUUGGCUGCCACCAGGUAAGACAUGCCUUUCGCCUUCCACCAUGAUUGUGAGGCCUUCCCAGCCACGUGGAACUGGAGGAUAGGGAGAAGAUGUGCCUCGCUAUUGAAGAUCCAAUGCUCCAGUGGAAGAAGAUCGUCGUCAGAAAAUAUUAGGUACAAAUAUCUGUCUAGUAUGGAAGAAGAUGGGAUGACUCCACUGACAACUCUCUAGAGAGAAAUGAUCCUACAUUUCUGUAGUUGUCUGAAUUUAAUGAAUAUUUGGAAAACAGAUGGGUUGGGCAGUGUGAGGAUGAACAUUUAGGUAACAACCUAAACCAACCUGCCUUCCACUUUGUUGGUUACCACUAAGAUGGCUGCUGUUUGUGUUUUCUUUUUCCCUUUCAGAGCCCACUUUCUUUCUUUUGUUUGUUUCUAUUUUUCUUUAACCUUUUUCCAGCUUUACCGAUGUAUGACAAAUACAAAUAGUAUAUACUGGAAGGUGUACAGUGUGAUGUUUUGAUAUACACUACUUCUGUGGAUAUACACCAUCUUCUGUGGUGGAUAUACAUCAUCUUCUGAUGUGGAUACACAUCAUCUUCUGUGGAUAUACACCAAGAAUUAGGAUUGCUGGAUCAUAUGGUAGCUCUAUUUUUAAUUUUUUGAGAAACCUCCAUACUGUUUUCCAUAAUGGCUAUAUCAAUUUUCAUUGCCACCAACAGUGUACAAAGGUUCCCUUUAUUCUGCAUCCUCACUAAGACUGAUUACCUCUUGAAUUUUUGAUAAUAGCCAUUUAAAAAGGUAUGAGGUGAUAUCUCACUGUGGUUCUAAUCUGCAUUUCCCUGAUGAUUUGUGAUGUUGAGCAUCUUUUCACUACUGGCCAUCUGUACGUCUUCUUUGGAAAAAUGUCUCUUCAGGUCCUUUGCCUAUUUUGAAAUCAGGUUGUUUUUCUGCUACUGAAUUGUAAGUUCCUUAUAUAUUUUGGAUAUUAACCCCUUAUCAGAUAUAUGGUUUGCACACAUUUUUGUUGUGUUUUUAGUUGAUUGUUUCCUUUGCUGUAAGGAAACUUUUUAGUUUGAUGUAGUUUCAUGUGUUUAUGUUUGCUUUUGUUGCCUGUGUUUUUGGGUCGAAUCCAAAAAAUCAUUGCCAAGCUCAAUGUCAAGGAGCUUUUCCCCUGUUGUUUUCUCCUAGGAGUUUUAUGGUUUCAGGUCUUACAUUUAAGUCUUUAAUUCAUUUUGAGUUGUUUUUUUUUUUGUGCUGUUUAUAUUUUGAAAUUACAUUUGUUGCUCUGCUAGUUACCAGGCAUAUUCAUCUCUAGGAAAGUUAU